UACGGGGGGAGCAAGCGUUGUUCGGAUUUACUGGGCGUAAAGGGCGCGUAGGCGGCACCGCAAGUCGACUGUGAAAUCUCCGGGCUUAACUCGGAAAGGUCAGCCGAUACUGCGGGGCUAGAGUGCAGAAGGGGCAACUGGAAUUCUCGGUGUAGCGGUGAAAUGCGUAGAUAUCGAGAGGAACACCUGCGGCGAAGGCGGGUUGCUGGGCUGACACUGACGCUGAUGCGCGAAAGCGUGGGGAGCGAACAGG
rnacentral:rRNA from 1 species